rnacentral:other from 1 species
CAUCCUCUGCGGUGUUCGUGUGAUGGGCCGGGUACACCCCUUGAUCCUAAUUGCUGCUACCCGGGGGUCUGGCUAGUCGGCGCCGGUGUGCAAGUCCGCCUCCGAGCGGGAAGCCUGACGCGUCGCACCUGUCCCCCACUUGAACCCUGCGGUUCAAGGGAAGGCCUUUACGGCACACGCGGAGGAUGU